AACCAACAGGGAUUACCUCAGUAACGGCGAGUGAAGCGGUAACAGCUCAAAUUUGAAAUCUGGCUCUUUCAGGGUCCGAGUUGUAAUUUGUAGAAGAUGCUUCGGGUGUGGCUCCGGUCUAAGUUCCUUGGAACAGGACGUCAUAGAGGGUGAGAAUCCCGUAUGUGACUGGUAGCUUUCGCCCAUGUGAAGCUCUUUCGACGAGUCGAGUUGUUUGGGAAUGCAGCUCUAAAUGGGUGGUAUAUUUCAUCUAAAGCUAAAUAUUGGCCAGAGACCGAUAGCGCACAAGUAGAGUGAUCGAAAGAUGAAAAGCACUUUGGAAAGAGAGUUAAACAGUACGUGAAAUUGUUGAAAGGGAAGCGCUUGCAACCAGACUUGCAUGCCAUUGAUCAUCCCAGGUUCUCCUGGGUGCACUCGGUGGUGUUCAGGCCAGCAUCGGUUUUGGUGGUUGGAUAAAGGCCUUGGGAAUGUGGCUCCUCUCGGGGAGUGUUAUAGCCCUCGGUGCAAUGCAGCCUACCGGGACCGAGGACCGCGCUUCGGCUAGGAUGCUGGCGUAAUGGUUGUAAGCGACCCGUCUUGAAACACGGACCAAGGAGUCUAACAUCUAUGCGAGUGUUUGGGUGUUAAACCCAUACGCGUAAUUAACGUGAACGGAGGUGAGAACCCUUUAGGGUGCAUCAUCGACCGAUCCUGAUGUCUUCGGAUGGAUUUGAGUAAGAGCAUAGCUGUUGGGACCCGAAAGAUGGUGAACUAUGCCUAAAUAGGGUGAAGCCAGAGGAAACUCUGGUGGAGGCUCGCAGCGGUUCUGACGUGCAAAUCGAUCGUCAAAUUUGGGUAUAGGGGCGAAAGACUAAUCGAACCAU
rnacentral:rRNA from 1 species